CUGGUACUCCCUCCGUCCCAAAAUUCUUGUCUUUGAUUUGUCUAGAUAUGAAUGUAUCUAGUCAUGUGUUAGUAUUUAGAUACAUCAUUUUUUAGACAAACGUAAGACAAGAAUUUUGGGACGGAGGGAGUAUAUC
rfam:Hordeum vulgare subsp. vulgare, WGS project CAJW01000000 data, contig: morex_contig_45808